rnacentral:rRNA from 1 species
CUGGCUCAGGAUGAACGCUGGCGGUGUGCCUAAUACAUGCAAGUCGAUCGGGCGUAGCAAUACGUCAGAGGCGUACGGGUGAAUAACACGUAGGUAACCUACCUUUAAGACUGGGAUACCCAGACGAAAGUUUGGCUAAUACCGGAUAACAACAUUUGAGACAUCUCUUUUGUUUGAAAGGCGCUGCAAGGCGCCACUUUUAGAUGGACCUGCGUCGCAUUAGCUAGUUGGUGAGAUAAAAGCCCACCAAGGCUGGGAUGCGUAGCCGAUCUGAGAGGAUGACCGGCCACAAUGGGACUGAGACACGGCCCAUACUCCUACGGGAGGCAGCAGUAGGGAGUUUUCGGCAAUGGGGGAAACCCUGACCGAGCAACACCGCGUGAGUGAUGAAAAGGGUCUUCGGAUCGUAAAGCUCUGUUACGAGGGACGAAUGAUCGCUUUAGGAAAUGAGAGCGGUUUGACGGUACCUCGCCAGAAAGCGACGGCUAACUACGUGCCAGCAGCAGC